rnacentral:lncRNA from 1 species
UUAUUUCUUGUUCAUUUUCAUGUGAACUGUUCAAUCCAGCCUGUUGAAUUUGUCUAUUCGGUUUGCUGAAUGGUUCUCUUCGGUUUACUGAAUUUGUAAAAGUUUCCAAAUUUCCUGCAUCCUCUUCUCUUUCUUUUGGAAGAUCAUUGUUAGUCUCAUUGAAAGUUAUAUGAAUUGAUUCUUCAACACAUAAUUUGUAAAUAUUAAAAACACGAUAUGCUUUGCUGUUAUGAGAAUAACCAAUGAAAAUACCUUCGUAGGAUUUGG